rfam:Oryza glumipatula chromosome 3, whole genome shotgun sequence.
AAAAAACAAACAAACAAACUUUCCGCGUCCAACGUUUGACUGUCCGUCUUAUAUAAAUUUUUUUUAUAAUUAGUAUUUUCAUUGUUGUUAGAUGAUAAAAUAUGAUUAAUAAUUUAUGCGUGACUUGUCUUUUUAAUUUUUUUCAUAAAUUUUUCAAAUAAGACGGACGGUCAAAUAUUGGACACGGAAACUCAAGGUUUGUCUUUUU